AUUGAACGCUGGCGGCAGGCCUAACACAUGCAAGUCGAACGAGUGGCGGAAGGGUGAGUAAUGUCUGGGAAACUGGCUGAUGUAGGGGGAUAACUACUGGAAAAGGUAGCUAAUACCGCAUACCAUCAGAUGUGCCCAGAUGGGAGUGGCUUGUUGGGGGGGUAACGGCUCACCAAGGCGACGAUCCCUAGCUGGUCUGAGAGGAUGACCAGGCACACUGGGACUGAGACACGGGCCAGACUCCUACGGGAGGCAGCAGUGGGGAAUAGUGCACAAUGGGCGCAAGCCUGAUGCAGCCAUGCCGCGUGUAUGAAGAAGGCCUUCGGGUUGUAAAGUACUUUCAUCGGGGAGGCGUUACCCGCAGAAGAAGCACCGGCUAACGCCGUGCCAGCCGCCGCGGUAAUAC
rnacentral:rRNA from 1 species